rnacentral:rRNA from 1 species
CCUACGGGACACAGCAGUGAGGAAUAUUGGUCAAUGGACGCGAGUCUGAACCAGCCAAGUAGCGUGAAGGAUGAAUGCCCUAUGGGUUGUAAACUUCUUUUAUAUGGGAAUAAAACGUUCCACGUGUGGGCGUAUGUAUGUACCAUAUGAAUAAGGAUCGGCUAACUCCGUGUCAGCAGCCGCGGUAAUACGGAGGAUCCGAGCGUUAUCCGGAUUUAUUGGGUUUAAAGGGUACGUAGGUGGAUUGUAAAGUAAGUUGUGAAAGUUUGCGGGUCAACCGUAAAAUUUCAGUUGAAACUGGCAGUCUUGAGUACAGUAGAGGUGGGCGGAAGUCGUGGUGUAGCGGUGAAAUGCUUAGAUAUCACGAAGAACGCCGAUUGCGAAGGCAGUUCACUGGACUGCAACUGACACUGAGGCUCGAAAGUGUGGGUAUCAAACAGGAUUAGAUACCCCAGUAGUC